GCAGAUCCGUAGUAAAUUGACACCAAUACUUGGAGAUAGCAAGGCGUCCCUUGAUGUGCUUGCCUUUACUGCUAUAUCAUUGGGAUUGGUAUAUGUGGGUUCAUGCAACGAAGAGAUUGCUCAGGCAAUCAUAUUUGCAUUGAUGGAACGAAGUGAGUCAGAAUUGGGAGAGCCCUUUGCCCGUCUGUUGCCUCUUGGUCUUGGUCUCCUGUAUCUUGGAAAACAGGAAAGCGUUGAGGCUACAGCCGAGGUCUCGAAGACCUUCAAUGAAAAGAUUAGAAAGCAUUGCGAUAUGACCCUGCUUUCUUGUGCCUAUGCCGGAACAGGCAAUGUGCUCAAGGUCCAACAUUUUCUUGGUCAAUGUGCCCAACAUUUUGAGAAGGGUGAAACCUUCCAGGGACCGGCCGUCCUGGGUAUUGCGAUGGUGGCAAUGGCUGAAGAACUUGGACUCGAAAUGGCCAUACGUUCACUAGAACAUCUUUUGCAGU
rnacentral:misc_RNA from 1 species